UUCGGUGGUCAUAGCGUGAGGGAAACGCCCGGUUACAUUUCGAACCCGGAAGCUAAGCCUUUCAGCGCCGAUGGUACUGCAUGCGGGAGCGUGUGGGAGAGUAGGACGCCGCCGAAC
rnacentral:rRNA from 1 species